GGGGCGGUAGCUCAGUUGGUCAGAGCAGCGGACUCAUAAUCCGUCAGGUCGAGGGUUCGAGCCCCUCUCGCCCCA
rnacentral:tRNA from 1 species